rnacentral:rRNA from 2 species
UACGAAGGGGGCUAGCGUUGUUCGGAAUUACUGGGCGUAAAGCGCGCGUAGGCGGUGAUCCAUGUCAGAGGUGAAAGCCUGGGGCUCAACUCCAGAAUUGCCUUUGAAACGGGAUCGCUAGAGUCCGAGAGAGGAUGGCGGAAUUCCUAGUGUAGAGGUGAAAUUCGUAGAUAUUAGGAAGAACACCGGUGGCGAAGGCGGCCAUCUGGCUCGGUACUGACGCUCAGGCGCGAAAGCGUGGGGAGCAAACAGG